GACAGAGGAUGCAAGCGUUAUCCGGAAUGAUUGGGCGUAAAGCGUCUGUAGGUGGCUUUUCAAGUCCGCCGUCAAAUCCCAGGGCUCAACCCUGGACAGGCGGUGGAAACUACCAAGCUGGAGUACGGUAGGGGCAGAGGGAAUUUCCGGUGGAGCGGUGAAAUGCGUAGAGAUCGGAAGGAACGCCCGUGGCGAAAGCGAGGUCCUGGACGCCUACUGACGCUGAGACGCGAAAGCCAGGGGAGCGAACGGG
rnacentral:rRNA from 1 species